rnacentral:rRNA from 1 species
CCUACGGGAGGUAGCAGUGAGGAAUAUUGGUCAAUGGACGAGAGUCUGAACCAGCCAAGUAGCGUGAAGGAUGACUGCCCUAUGGGUUGUAAACUUCUUUUGUAAAGGAAUAAAACGAGGCACGUGUGCCUUUUUGCAUGUACCUGAUGAAAAAGGAUCGGCUAACUCCGUGCCAGCAGCCGCGGUAAUACGGAGGAUGCGAGCGUUAUCCGGAUUUAUUGGGUUUAAAGGGAGCGUAGGUGGGUUGUUAAGUCAGUUGUUAAAGUUUGCGGCUUAACCGUCAAAUUGCAGUUGAAACUGGCAGUCUUGAGUACACUUGAGGUAGGCGGAAUGCGUGGUGUAGCGGUGAAAUGCAUAGAUAUCACGAAGAACCCCGAUUGCGAAGGCAGCUUACCAAC